rnacentral:rRNA from 1 species
GACGAACGCUGGCGGCGUGCCUAAUACAUGCAGGUAGAACGCUGAAGGAGGAGCUUGCUUCUCUGGAUGAGUUGCGAACGGGUGAGUAACGCGUAGGUAACCUGCCUGGUAGCGGGGGAUAACUAUUGGAAACGAUAGCUAAUACCGCAUAAGAGUAGAUGUCGCAUGACAUUUGCUUAAAAGGUGCAAUUGCAUCACUACCAGAUGGACCUGCGUUGUAUUAGCUAGUUGGUGAGGUAACGGCUCACCAAGGCAACGAUACAUAGCCGACCUGAGAGGGUGAUCGGCCACACUGGGACUGAGACACGGCCCAGACUCCUACGGGAGGCAGCAGUAGGGAAUCUUCGGCAAUGGACGGAAGUCUGACCGAGCAACGCCGCGGGAGUGAAGAAGGUUUUCGGAUCGUAAAGCUCUGUUGUAAGAGAAGAACGAGUGUGAGAGUGGAAAGUUCACACUGUGACGGUAUCUUACCAGAAAGGGACGGCUAACUACGUG